rnacentral:lncRNA from 1 species
UUAACUCAUUCGGUAAAUGUUGUUUGUCUUUAUUGAUACGGGAACGUACAGUAAUGUCAUGAACUGGGGGGAAUUCCUUGAUUAUGCUAAUACCGCCUAGGAAUAGGGGUAGGACAAUCAAUUGUAUUUUGCUUCUGUUUAUCAUGCAUUAUUAGUUACUAGGGGAGGCUAGGAAUAACAAGUAGGUAAUUAGUAAUAGGCUCUUUUCACUAAGGAAUUGGGUUAAGGGUAGACCAAGAAAGUUUGGAUGGCAAUAUGAUAAAUAAGCUAAGUAGAUAAGAAGAGUAGAUACAAAAGGGUGAUUGGGUGAAAUCUGAACCCUAGCAACAAAUCCAUCUCAUAUUAUCACCAUCAUCCAUCCA